AGAACAUAGGAUAUGAUAAUGAAUUUUCCAAUUCAAUGUUAGAAAGUCUCAAACGGAACUGCCUUCUUGUUCUCGAGUUAUUGAUCUCGAGACCUCUGUUGGGAAGCUUAUAGCUUAUCUCCUUAAGGUUUCGGCUUCGGCUGAUAUUUCGUUUUCGUAAUUGAGUUAUGAUGGCUUCGGCUGAGGGAGACGAAGCAUCGGUUGCGAGAGGCUUUAAUUUUUUGGGGUUUUCCCAUUUCAUUAAAGACUUUUGUAUCACCCUUUUGUUUUCUAACCAGUCACGACUGUUCACUUCAAUUAGUGUAGUGAAUUUUGAGUAUAUAUCGAUACAUGAUACGAACUGUUGGUUAUCUAUUACAUAGAAGUCUAUUACGUAACGUUCUCGGAUGAUUAAGACUUCCGUUGUUACUUCAAAUGGCAACUUGGUGUUUCUAUGCUCAGUCUUGGCAAUAUUACACGUUGUACAUUCGUUUAUAAUAUUUUGUAUCAAUUUUUGUUGGUCAGGGUAGUAGCAUUUUCCCUUAAACCAAAUGAUGGUUUUCUCUAUUCCAGGGUGAAGUAAUUCUUUACGGGUUUUCAUUAUCAAUUUAUUGAAUUCCGCGUAAUUGGGUAUAUCUAUGAGUUUUUAACUUGAUUUCAUAACUAUUGUGAAAUUGUUUGGACUGAUAAUUUCAAAAUACGCUUGUUGGAAAGUUGGGAAAUCAGUCUCGUUAUGGAAGUCUCUUUGGUACAUAGAUAUUCCUUAAUGAGUUCUUUAGCCAAGGGGUUGGUCAUUUCCUUGUAUGUGAUUUUGAUAAUCAAUUUAUGUAAAUAGUGUUGUGUAGUUACUUUAUCUUCAUCUCCCUUGAUCAACUCAAUCUUCCGAUGAAGUAGUUGAUUGGUCGUUCUGUAAUGGGAAUAUGAUUGAGAUUGUCUUCUUGCGCACUGUGUAUUGUGGCGCCUGCACCGUCAGAGAAUUCUCCGAGUAGGUUUUCGUUAACUUUAACUCGGGAAAGGGCGUCCGCUACAUGGUUUUUUUUGCCAGGUAGAUAUUUGAUUUUGAAGUCGAAUUCGUUUAAUUUGAUCGUCCACCUUUGUAGUUUCAUGUUUGGUUCUUUGAGGUGGUUCAACCUAAUACUAAGGGCUUAUGGUCGCUAAGUAUUUCGAAUGUUCUUCCGAACAAGUAUGAUCGGAAAUUGCUAACAAUUAUUUUUCGAUAGCGGAAUAAUUGAUCUCAUGUUCGUUCAGCGUUCGUAGCAGGCGUAGCAGAUCAGCUUAUGGUCUUGCUAUAGGACUGCACCUAUAGCCAUGUUACUGGAGUCGGUAGUAACAGAAAACAUUUUGGUAAAGUCUGGAUAUACAAGAAUUGGGUCUGAGGUGAUGAGUACUUUUAGUCUCUCGAAAUCCUCUCGAAUUCGAAGGAAUGAACUUCCUAUCAAAUCCGCAUAGUCCUAAGAAUGACUUGAUUUGUUUUGUGGUCUCGGGGAUGGGAAACCCUAUGAUGGCUGUGAUCUUGUUGGGAUACUAUUCUUUCGGGAGUUCUAUGACCUAGGAACUCAGUUUCUUUCUUCAGAAACUGACACUUAUCCAUUUGUAGCUUGAGGUUUGCGUCUCUCAGCUUGCCAAAGUAUUUUCUUAGUGACAGAGGGUGUUCGUCCAAUGAAGUGGAGAAAAUUAUUACGUCAUCUAAGUACACCAAACAGUCUGUGAAAAUUAAGGGGCGUUCGUUAGCGCAAAUGGCAUUCGAGUAUACUCGUAAUGACCAUGUUUCGUAGAGAAGGCCGUUUUCGCGAUCGAAUUAUGUUCCAUUGGAAUUUGAUGGAAAACUUUUGCCAAAUCGAUUGUGGUGAAAUAUUGGCACUUUCCUAAUUUGUCUAGGAUUUCAUCCAUUCUUUGAGUUGGAAACUUAUCCUUUAUGGUUAUCUCGUUGAGACCUCUAUAGUCUACGACUUUCCUGUACUUCUGUUUUCCGGAAGCGUCUAUCUUCUUCGGAAUCAUUGAAAUGGGGGAACAGUAAGGCGAUUUCGAUUUACGAAAUCCGUGCAAAAUCGUGCGAAAUCAUGUGCAAUACAGAGAUGGUGACAAUUUGAUCUCACAAGUACUGUCAAACAUCCAAUUCAAACACAAAAUGAAGAUGCGGGAUAUGACAUGACGAAGAAGUCACUAAUCAAAUCAAAGAAAUUAUUGAACAAGGAAUAAUUGUCAAAAGGUCAAAUUGUCACCAUCUCUGUAUUGCACAUCGCUUAAAUUUUUCUUUCUCUUCAUCGUUCAGAUGCUUUAGCCUUAGCUCGUGACAUUCCCUUAGUUCAUUAUCGAUAGCGGAAGUGAAGUAUUGAUCCCCUUCUGAGGAUGAGUCAAGGCGCUUCUGUGCGAUAUUAUCUUCUUCUGAAGAUGUAUUUUUGCACUUAUGUGCGGUCUUAACUUCUUCAAUUGCUUCUCCACUAAUAAUGAUUGGGAAUGUUCUUUCUCCUAACCUUACAGUAUUGUUACUUUAAUUGAUAUGGCUUUGCUAGCCAACAGAUAUUCUCUUCCCAAAGGGAUAUCUUAGUUGUCCGAGAAGUUAUACAGGUAGAACUUCUGCUCACUGGGACAGACUUUAUUGGGGAGCCUAUUAACCUAUACUUUUGGUUAACUUAACGGUCCGUUGAUGGUAUGGACCUUGAGGUUUUCUAUAUUUAUGGAGGCAUUAGGAAUGUUUUCUUUUAUGAUGUUUAUUGAUGAUCCAAAAUCCACGAUACAUCUAAGUAUUUAAUUAUUUAGUUUUAGGUUUAUAUAGGAUCCCCCUCGGUUUCUUCCGAGGCUGUUUGAUGAAAAUGUACAUCCAUUUUCAUCUGGUCGCCUUGGCUUUCUCGAAUCCUUUAGUAGGUUGAUUGGGCCUGCUGCCACUAGCUUGGUUUUGAUUCAUUUGAUAAUUCACAGGAUUUUGUGCUUGACCUUUAUUCAAGGAGUUACGAAAUUCCUGUUGCAGUCCAGGAUUGUUAUUAUUGUGCCUAGAUGUACCUGAACAAAAUGGAUUCUGAGCUUGUUGUGUAUUGCUACUUAAGUUUGGGUAAUAAUUCCCAUUAUUCUUCUAAGCGGACCGCUGCGGUUUAUGCUGAUCUUUAUUGGUAUUCUUAUCUUAAAUCUUAACUUCCUACAAGCCUUCUUAUUGAGCUGCCUUUUUAAGUUUAGACAGUGUUGUUAUGUCUUUUCGGACUAAUGUCAUAAAGGUCCCAUCUGUGAGUUUACGCGAUAUUACAUCUUUAAUUGUAUUAUUUAAUGCGUUUUGAUAGAUCAAGGUGUUGGCUGCACUGUUUUCUAAUGCUAGCUUAUUAGUAACUACAAGGACUUUAGUUUCUAGAUCUUCGAUAAACUUAUUUUCCCAUUGAAUUUUGUGAAGUAGAUUUGUCUCAGAAGUUCUUCGUAUGGUGUGUGGUUCUUGAAUUCGUCUAUUAGAGCAUUCUUCAGCUCCAGCCAGGUGUUGGGUUGCACCAUUUGUGAGAAUCCUUGUGCUUCUUCGGUCAGCUGAAUCGGGUACAGUUCUUGUAUGUACUCAACGCGUUUGAUGAAGGAGCUCAGCUUUCCAGCUGAUCCGUCAUAGGCUGGCACUUGUCGACCGUAGUGCUUGGUUUAGGUGAAUUUCACUAAGGGUUGCAAUUGGUAAUGCCAUUUUGAUUUGUAAUUAAUUUUAGUUCACUUCACGUGUGUUUCACUCAAUGGAUUAUUUAGUUGUUGGUUUAUUCAAAUCAUUGCUGUUGGUGAUUUAUAUAAUCGUUGCGAUUUUGGUUACACAAUUAUUGUUUUGUUUAACGUUUGUGUUUGGCUAGUGCUACGUUGCACCUACGUUCUUUGGCGGAUUCACGUGGUCUAACUAGCUUCGAUAAUCUCCAGUAAUCUAGUUGUUUAGAUUGCUUCUAAUAUAUUAGUACCGGAACAAUAACGUUAGUGUUUGUGAAUCCUACCGGCUGCGCCAAUAAGAAUUCCCGAGUUCAAAAGUAGUUUUUUUAAAAAGAUAUUUUAUUUAGCCGAACUUAUAUAAUAGAACAUGGGAUAUGAUAAUGACUUCCCCAACUCAAUGUUGGAAAGUCUCAAACGGAACUGCCUUGUUCUCGAGUUAUUGAUCUCGAGACAUCAGUUGGGAAUCUUAAAGCUUAAGCUUUCGGUUUCGGCUAAUAUUUCGUCUUCGUAAUUGAGUGAUGAUGGAUUCGGCCAUGGUGAAAUUACUAAUAAGGUGACGGAUUCACCACAGUGGCUUCUCAUUGGAGGCCCACCAGCUUGUCAGUCGUUUGCCAAACGUCGACGAAAGAGGUUGUGUAGCGCACGAUUUUUUCAUUGUCUUCUUCUUUUUCUUUAUUGUUUACGAAUGAAGACGCAAGCGGACAACAAUGAAAUAUGCAUGCAACUACUAUUUUAUUUUGGGUGUGUAAAGGAAUGUGUAUGUGAUUGAAUCUUUAUUCAAUUAAAUCUUUUUUAGAAUCUCUCCAAAUCUUUACUUUGCUGUUAGCAGAAACAAUAAAAGCGAAGAGUGCAGAAUGUAAAACGUUUGCUAUCUCUCUCGAGCACUUGCCUCUCUGAUAGCUGAGAGAGCUUGGUGAAUAAGCUGGUGGUCCUCCACUCAGCUGACGACGUCACCUUGUUAGUAAUUAUACCAUGGUGAGGGCGUACUUACAAAUACAAAAAGCACAAAAACACGACUAAACGACGCAUAAGGCAUGCACUGGCGUAUCAGGACAGGUUAAAGUUGUAACGCAUUCAGUAUGCAAAUUUAGAAAUUAUUUUGAAAAAUUUUGAACACCGGUCGUUUAUACAAAAUAGAAAAGAAAGUACGGAGCCCAAAACAAAAACACGUCUGGUCACUACGAAAGAGAACGAUGGUUGUCUCUUCGUCUCCCUCAGCCGAAGCCAUGGUGAAAUUACUAAUGAGGUGACGUUGUCAGCUGAGUGGAGCAUGGUGAAAUUGGAUCUACAAUUUUGAAGAUAAAAUAAAACUAAAAACGCCAUUCCGUAGGGAAUCAGAUUACCAAAUUGGGAUCCGAUUGGAUUAUUAUUAUAGCCAGAAUGAAGAAAUUAAUUUGCAGUGGCUAAGCCCACCCUUUUCUUUUUUGUAUGUAUAGGAGGGAAAAGCAUUGAAAGCCGAUAAGUGUGGGACUUGGAAUUACCUCACCCACUAAAAACGCCCCUACUCUCCGUAUCCCUCUCGCGGUACGACCGUUAAGUAUUACUUAGCGAGGGGGAGAUGCCAUGAAAGCCGUCACUAGAUCCUAUCUAGGAUUUGAAUUUCGAUUCCGCUGUCUUUCAGCGCGAAGCAAGGAUUGGAUGAUCUCUGCAGCGUAGGUGCUCACGGCAUCCGAAUUGUUUUGCGAGCUAAGUAGGAUAUCCAUUAAGUCAUUGACUAUAAAUGGCCUCCCAAUGUCUAGGCUUAGCUCUUCCCAGUCAGCAGAGAAUCUUGGACAGACAAAAAAUACAUGUUCAGCGUCUUCUAUGGUCCGUGCACAGUGCGUACAAAACGGAUCCGACUCGCAUUCAAAUUUAUGUACGUAGAAUUUAAAGCACCCAUGUAAUUUUCAAAGCUGCGUUAGGUAAAAGUUAGUCUCCCCAAAAGUUUUACACAGCCAGGGCCCUAUGUCCGGGACUAUGCGUAUGCUGCGUCCAUAUACCGUUGGGUGUGUUACGCCAUCGCUCCUGCCAUCUAUGUUGAGUCUCCGCCUCGCGGAUUGCCUGGUCUUCGAUGGUGGUUCCAGCGGCGAGAAGGUCGAUUGGCGCCAUGCCGGCCAAUACUAGGGCCGCCUCUUCGGAGACGGUGCGGUAAGCGCUAAUGACUCUCAGUACACCUCUUUGGUAGGCCGCUUUGCAGGUGCGGCUGUACGUUGGGAGCUCCAUAGCUGGUGCCCAUAUUUGAGCAGCGUACAUAAUGAUGGCUCUGACAACAGAGCAGAUGAGCAGUCUGCUCCUCUGUCUUGGACCGCCGAUGUUGGCCAUUAUGGCGGAUAGCACGCUUGCUGCCCUGCCGGCUUUGACUCCGGUUUCUUCCAGGUGCUGCUUGAAGCUAAGCCUGUGGUCCAGAUGGACUCCCAGGUACUUGAUAGCCGGGGACGACUCGAUUUCGUCUGUUCCAACAACCACUCUAACCAUCUCUACCUUUUUCCUGGUGCUAAUCAGGACCGAUUCGGGUUUGUGCGCUGCUAGGCUGAGGCCGUUUUCCUGGAGCCAGCACAUCACUCGUCUGACUGUCCCAUUCGUGUUCUCCUCUACUUCAGUUAGGGUUUUACGUACCGCUACUACCGCGAUGUCGUCUGCGAAGCCAACGAUGCUGCAGCCGGCUGGUGUGUCCAGUCGUAGGAUGCCAUCGUAGCGGGCAGAGAACUGUGGAACGCCUCCUGUAACUUGUCGUCGUUUUUGUCCCGUCGAGGUGUCGAACAGCAACACUCUGUUUUUGAAAUAACUAGCUACUAUGCCCACCAGGUACUCAGAUACACCAAUUCUGGAGAGGGCGGCAAUGAUGCUUGGCCAUCUCGCAGAGUUAAUGGCAUUUUUUACAUCUAGUGUAGUUACCAGGCAGUACUUCUUGGUGCCACCUUGCCAUCUCUUCACUGCUCUGAUCGCGUCGGGGGUGCUUCUCCUCUUCCUAAAGCCGAAUUGGAGUUCAGAUAGUCCCUGUAGGCUGUCAAUUUCCGCUUCUAGCCGAUUUGCGAUGAUUCGCUCGAACAGCUUCCCCGUUACGCUGAUCAUGCACAGAGGCCUGUAUCCUUCCCAGUCUUUGGUAGAAGCACUAGCCUCUGGAGCUUCCAGCCCGUGGGGAAGACUUGCUCAUGCAGGCAUUGGUUAAAAGUCUUCGCUAUCGCUUCCGGGUAUGUUGUGGCUAUCGCCCGGACUGCUAUGACGGGUAUACCGUCGGGCCCUGGCGCUUUGCCGAUCUUCAUGCUCUUAGCCGCUUUUAACAGCUCUUCCGCACCGAUCUGUGGAGGUGUGGGGGUCACCCGGUGUCUGGGCACGUAGUUCCUGUUGCGUGGGGAAAAGUGCAUCCACGAUUCUGGACAAUAAUUCCGGGCAGGUGGGCAUUACCUUGCGCGCCAGUUUGCCCAUCACCAUCGUGUAGGCUAGGCCAAAAGGCUGCAGGUCUGCCUCCUUGCAGAGGUCCUUCCAGCAGUUUGCUUUGCUUCGUUUGAUCUCCUUGGUGAGAUGUGCCCGUUGUUGGUGGUAGAUGGGGUGCGCUUCUGCCGCUUCCUGGGCUGCUUGGGGGUCUUGUGGUCUCCGCCUUGCUGUUUUCAUGGUCUCCGCAGAUCCGCUAUUUCCUGCGACCACCAGUGCACUGGCUUUCGCUUCCUUCCCCCCAUUUGCUUUUUUACCAUGGCGGCUUCGCAGGCAGUCUCCAUUGCUGUACCUAGCGAUUUUGCCUGCUCUGCAUUCCCGUGUACACUUUCGCUGCUUUGACGGAACAUGAGGAGCAGGCACUGGGUGUCCAUGUCCUCCGUUUUCCUAGCUGUGCGCCUUAUGGUUGCGGUGGGUCCGUCGUCGAUACAGCACGUUAUGGCCCGGUGGUCACUAUGCGUAUAUACACUUGCAACCUUCCAGGUGGCUCUCCGUGCCAGUUAGGGGCUGGCGAAUGUAACGUCGAUUACCGAUCCGCGGUCAUCCUUUACGUAUGUUUGUGUACUUCCUUUAUUCAGGAGCACCACACUCAGGGUCGCGAACACAUCAAGUAGGACGCUUCCUCGUGCGUUCGUCCUUGUGCUUCCCCACUCGGUCGGCGAUGCGUUGAAAUCGCCAGAAAUGAUCACUGGGGAACGACUACGUGCAUCUUCCGCUAGGUCUUCUAGUAUGUUGGCGAACUCAUCCGGUUGUAUGCUCGGUGCAAUGUAGCAGCUGUAUAUGUGGAUGCCAGCAAUCUUUGCUCUGACGUACCCCACUGACGUAUGCCGGGCGCUUAAGCCUUGUGGCGAGGUUCCACAGCUCCAGAUAACUGCUCCAUAAUUAGAGUUUGUUUUCUGUAUCUAUACGUCUGGUGGCAUCGCUAGGUGUGGCUCGCUCAAUAUGGCGACGUCGACGUCCUCUUCUUUCAUCGUCUGCAUGAGCAGGUCCUGUGCCGCUCUGCAGUGGUUCAAAUUAAGCUGCAGGAACUUAAUUUUGCCCAUUAUUGUAUGAAUUUGCUGCCUUAACAUAUAAAGGGCAUGCCCUACUGAGGGUGCCAUGUGCCGUGUCCUUUAGCCCUGCUCUUGUGCAUAAGAUGCAGGCGGGCAUCUGUUUGCAAUCCCUCGAGUUGUGCUGCGUACCUCCACAAUUAAAGAAUUGGCUUGUUUCGUCGUGGCUACUUCUGCAUCUUGCCGCGAUAUGUCCGAAUGCUAGGCACUUGAAACACCUCCUGGGUUCGUUCUUCUGCCGGAUUCGGCAUACCGACCAUCCAAUGCGAACUUUUCCCUCGUGAAGCAGCUUGUCCGCUGUUUCUUUGGGUAGAAGAAUGUUCGCUGUCAGCGUUCCACGGUAGGCUUUCCAGAGUUUCGGGACUGACUCGGUCGGCAAGUCUCCGUCUAUCUUAGCGAAUAUGACUUCGAGCACUUCUUCCGGCGUUUUCCACUCCGAUAUGUCCCUAACCUCAAUCAAAACCUUCUCGGAGAUAGCCUUGACCUCAGCAAUAUUGCCCACCUUCGUCUGGAAUGCCUUGAGUAGUUUUGCAGUGGCGGCUAAACCCACCCUGUCCCGCAGCUUUUGUUGUUUUUUUCACAUUCUCUCAUUCACACUCUGCUUCUGUUUCACUCGGCCUCUGCCUCUGCCGUCCCUCUGCCUCUGCCUACUUUUAACCCACCCCGUCCCGAGGCUUAUAUUUGUUUUGUUUUUGUGUGCGGGCGCUGCCUUUGCCUUUGACGCGAGUCUGCAGUGCGUGUUGGUGUUUAAAAUUUGCCGGGUAUAAAAGUUGUGACGCGUAAGAAGCGUCUCACACGUCCCUUCUCGUUUAUUUAUAUAUUUAAUAUAAAUAAUAGAAAUAAUGGAAUACGUGGUUGUGUGUUCCGCUAAGACUUGCAAGAAGCAGAUAAACCACGACCAGCCGAGCAUCCCUUGCUGGCUCUGCGAUAACGUAGUGCACGCAAAAUAUAUUGGGUUUUCAGGCCUCGUGGGUGACUCAAUUGCAAAGCGUAAUGGUCUACAUUACAGUUGCUAGGCGUGUCGGUCUGUUGAGAAUGACAUGGUCACGUUUAUGAGGCAGACGCGAAAGGUGGACGCAAAAGACGCGACCGUGGGCUUUAACAAGCAGUACGAUCGGCUUCUAGCCAUGGAGUCCCAAUUCAGCGGUUUUAAACUGCUGAAUUAGAGUCCUAGGCGCAAAAAAGUCACUCCUCGUGAUCUGCAAGUGACUGUCCCCCCAAGGGCAACGACAACUGCUGGUGAUCAAGUUUCGGCUACCAAAUCGAUCAUCUCGAAGAACAUUCCGCCAGUUAGUAAUGUAGCGUCCGUGUUUGUCGAGUCCGUUCCAAAGCCACAUCAUAUCCCAUCUAUUUCGAUCCCACCAGUAAAUAAACGUCCCGGACCACCAAAUAUUGCCGUCACAGGUACCAGAUCUGUGGUGCCAAAACCUCUGGUGGGAGUCCCACCAAAGCGGCAAGUUUUUGUCUCUCGGCUUCCCCUGACCUCACAUCUAAUGAUGUAACUGCUUUUAUACAAAGCAAAAUAAAAGCCGAUGGCUUAAAGGUGGAUAAGUUUAAUUUCUCUUAUGCCAGGGAGAUAUCCUCUUUCAAGAUUAGCGUGUCUCCAACUCAAUUCGAGACCAUUUGCUCUUCCAAAUUUUGGCCAGAGCACCUAGUGGUGAAAGAGUUUAAGGCUAAGAAGAAAAAUGGGCCCCCCAUAACUCUUUCUAGUAGUGCUGGAAGUGGAUGGAGUGGAUGGAGCAGAGGAAGAAGGAGCACUGGCCUAUUCCUCCUCUGCUCCAUCCACCUUUUCCCACUGCAAUUCCUCGCAGUCAAAAAACUAAUUUCCCUCUUUGUAGCCUAUAAAAUGCUCGCGGUUUACGUAGUAAGCUGAGCACUCUUUUUAUGGAUGUUUUAUGUUUACCGAUACCUGGUUAAAGCCGGACAUUAUUAGUUCCGAUGUUUUGGCAGAUCGGUACACAAUUUAUAGGAAUGAUCGUUCGUCUCGACGUGGAGAAGGGGUUCUGAUUGCAGUAAACUCUUACUUUACGUCGGAGCCUUUCAUAGUUCAGGUUUCACAAGACCUGGAAUUCCUCUGUGUCAGACUGAUUCUUCCCGGUCAGUAUAUUUAUGUAACUUGCUCGUAAUAUACGAGCAGCACUUGUCCGCCUUAAAAACUGUUUCUUCCUCGCUAUCUGAUAAAGAGCAUAGUUCUUUCAACCUGCCAGGUAACGAGUCUAAUAACCUUGUGCCCAUGUCACGACAUGAUUUUAUUGAUGGCUUAUUAGACCUGCCCCUGUCUCAAGUCAACCAUGUAAAAAACUCCUUGGGUGGAUUGCUUGAUCUGUACUUUGUCGUGGAUCCGACCGUAGCGUUGGUAACACUCCGGUUACUCCGGCUCACUAUACCUGAAGACUGCUAUCAUCCUACUUUCGAAGUGUCGGUAGAUAUUGCACCUACUGUAUCGGAUCGUGCGGGUAGGCUAUCUGAACGCGUCCGCUGCAUUCUUAAAGUCGAGUUUAAGAAGCUCAAUAACUUAAUUAGGGCUUAUGAUUGGUCCGCUCUGUACUCGUGCACUGACGUUAUUGAAGGCACAAACAUUUUUUACAAUGUACUGGAGAUAAUUUUUGACACGUGUGUCCCACUUCCAUGUCCGAGUAGAUCUGCGAAACCUCCUUGGUUCGUCAAAGAGUUAUCCAGUCUAAAGAACCUAAAAUCAAGACUAUUUAAAAAAUCUCAAGAAGUUGGUUCUCCCUCUUAUCUUUCCAACUACUUAAUAGCUCGGUCAAAUUUCACUGUUCUUAAUGCUCAAUCCUAUAGGAACUACCUACUUCGAUGCAGGAUACGUUUUUCACAGGACCCUAAACAGUUCUACAGCUUUUUAAACAGUAAGCGUAGAACAUCUACACAUCCAUCCUCGCUGUCAUUUUUGAAUAUGUCGUCAAACAAUGAUCAGGCACUCGCCGAUCUUUUUGCAAAAUUUUUUCAAACCACCUGUUCUCAGGAAAGCUACCCAGGUCAUAUGUAUCCAUAUAGUUUACCAAGGUCGAAUGGAAUUUUCUUCCCUUUGUUUAAUGAAGGCUCCUUACUUCAUGAACUGCAAUUAGUUAAGCCGGUAUAUUCACCGGGCCCUGACGGAGUUCCCGGCUAUGUACUCAGGUACUGUGCCGAGUCUCUGUGCGUACCCUUGCUUAAACUAUUCACUCUAUCCAUCCAUUUUUCUAGCUUUCCACCCAUUUGGAAAGAAUCCUUUAUAAUUCCUCUCCAUGAGAAAGUUAGCAAGUCUGAUGCUGAAAACUAUAGAGGUAUAGUAAAGUUAUCCGCUAUUCCUAAAAUGUUCGAGACAUUUUUAACUCCGCACUUGCAACAUCUCUGCAAAUCACUUAUAACUUCAGGUCAGCACGGAUUUAUACGGCGACGAUCAAUAACCACUUAUCUUUUAGAGUUCACCUCCUUUGUCAUUAAAGGAUUCCAGGGUAACUUGCAGACGGAAGUUAUUUACACUGACUUCAGUAGGGCAUGUGAUUAUGUAAACCAUUCUCUUCUUGCACAAAAGCUCGACCUUCUAGGGUUCCUGCCCAAUCUUUGGAGAUGGAUUUCUAGCUACCUGUGUUCUAGGUCUCAAAGGGUCCUUUACAAAAACUCCUUAAAUUUACCUCUUAUUUUUACUUCUGGAGUACCACAGGGUAGCCAUUUAGGCCCCUUAGUUUUCACACUCUUUAUUAACAAAUUCUCGAGUACUUAUGUAUGCGGAUGAUGUUAAGCUCUGUGUCCAGUAUAAAGACAUUUCAUUUCACUCUCGCCCGCAAUCUGAUCUCAAUAGCUUUCAGUCAUGGUGCUGUGCAAAUAUGUUACAACUUAAUGCCUCGAAGUGCAAUGUAAUGACUUUUUAUCGCUCCAGCCCCUUCCUGACUCCUUACACCCUCUGCGGUAGUUAUCUUGAGAGAAUUACAUUUGUUGAUGAUCUAGGUGUUAAACUAGACCCCAAGUUAAAGUUUUCUGAACACAUUUCUACCAUGGUUAAUAAAACCAUGGUUGUGCUUGGGUUUAUAAAGAGGUGGUCAACGGAAUUUUAUGACCCCUAUAUAACGAAGACUCUCUAUAUCUCGCUUGUUCAUCCGAUUUUAGAAUACGGCUCAAGUGGAUGGUGCCCUCAGUACAACAUACAUCAGGACCGUAUGGAAUCAGUACAAAAAAAGUUUUUAUUAUUUGCCUUACGGGGCCUCAACUGGGAUGAAACUGUGAGACUGCCAUCCUACCGUAGUAGACUUCUUUUAAUAAAUCUUCCAUCCUUAGUUAGUCGUAGAAAAAUGCUUGGUGUAAUUUUUAUGCACAACUUUUUAAAGGGGAAAUUAGACAGCCCUGACUUCCUGAGCCGCAUAAACUUUACGAUUCCCGUUACAACCACUAAAAACCAUAUUCCUUUGUUCCUUCCACUAUGUAGAUCGAAUUCUGCCUUGCACGAACCCUUUAGGGUUUAUGCUCGGAUUAUAAUUCCCUCUACCACAUUAUAUCCUCAACUAGCUCCCUUCCUCUUCUUAAAUCUCUUAUACUAGCCUACCUCUCCCUAAGUUAGUUAGCAUUUUAGUUUUGUCUUGUUUCAGAUUUUGGUCAUUUUUUCUUGCUUAGCUAUAGUAGCUCUAGUCUAGUUGUGUUUAGUUCUAAUUUUCCUCGAAUAUUAGCCUAACAUCUAUCUUUCCUGCAUGCUCGCGACCGGUUUGGUUAAUCGCGCCGCUCGUAUUGCGGCAGAGCCCCUCGGUCGGUUGGGCGGGAGGAGGGCUGCGUUCUGAUGUGUUCCGCGCGUAACAGGCUUUGGCUUGGUGUCGCAUGGGCCACUUGAUGGUGCAGUCAUUGCAUAUCAACGUCCAGACAAAAGAAAACGAGGAAGGACGUGUGAGACGCUGUAAGAGAUUGGAUCAUUAUUAUAGCCAGCAUGAAGAAAUUAAUUUUCAGUGGCUAAACCCACCCCGUCCCGCAGCUUGCUUUUGUUUUUGCACAUUCUCUCAUUCACACUCUGCUUCUGCAGUGUGCGGCCUCUGCAUCUGCAGGUACAGAUGUUCUACUGAGUAGCGGGUAUAAAAGUGGUGACGUCUCACACGUCCCAUUUCGUUACAAUUUUAAAUUAUACACUUGUUCUACAUACAUAUGUUUGUGAUUUACAUCACUUCUCACGCCAAUACGCUAUUUUAGUUCGCACCCUCCCCUAGAGCCGCACACUGCAUGUAGCAGAGUGUAGAAUAAGAGAAUGUGCAACAAAUAAAAAAAUCUGCUGGACGAGCCACUGCAAAUUCAUUUCUUCAUUCAGGCUAUAGUAAUGAUCCAAUCUGAUCUCAGUACGGUGGUCGAUAGAUAUGGUAAUUUCCUACGGAAUGGCGUUUUUAGCUUUGUUUUAUCUUCAAAAUUGUGGAUACCGCAGAUUUUUUAUUUUGCGGGGGCGGAAGGGGGCAUGGCGAAAUGUUGAAACACACUUGUAACAGUGUGUGCAUACCGCCAUCUGUAUACAAAAUUAGAUGGCUCUAGCUUUUAUAGUCUCUGAGAUCCAGGCGCUCAACAAGACGGACAUGGCUAUAUCGACUCGGCCAUUGACGCUGAUCAAGAAUAAAUGUAUGUAUAUACACUUUAUGGGGUCGGAAACGUUUCCUUAUGUGUGUUACAUACAUCCACUUUCCACACAAAUACAAUAUACCCUAUUUACUCUUCGAGUACCGGGUAUAAAAAUCAAUGAAAUAGAACAUUCAGUACUAUAAUCAAACUAAAAUAAUAUUUAUAAAUAUCCCUAAACAGUCUAACACAGAAAAAAAUGAUAUCCCACUGCGUAGCUGUUACGAUAAAUUUUAAGUUUAACCUUUUUUACAUUCAAGAACUAAUUUAUAAGAAAUGUAAUUACUCUAAUUGGUGUUUACCCAGGCAUAAUCGUUAAAAAUCCGAAGUCGCUUUUCGGCUUUAAAAGUGACAAAUAUAAUAAAUAUUUUAGCAACUUGAUUGGGUGACGAUCGCUAUCCAUAAUUGAUCAUCAUUAUCUGGUGAUUCGAACUACCUACCAGUAAUGCAAUGCAAAUAAAAUCAAACCAAAAUGUCCGAUAAAGAUAAGCAAAAUUUUUCCAAUUCUAAAGUAUACAUACAUUAAAAUAUAUAAAAAAGUAUGUUCAUCCUUAUUAC
rnacentral:lncRNA from 1 species